CGAACGGGUGAGUAAUACAUCGGAACGUGUCCGCUCGUGGGGGACAAUCAGCCGAAAGGUUGGCUAAUACCGCAUGAGUUCUACGGAAGAAAGAGGGGGACCCGCAAGGGCCUCUCGCGAGCGGAGCGGCCGAUGACUGAUUAGCCGGUUGGUGAGGUAACGGCUCACCAAAGCAACGAUCAGUAGCUGGUCUGAGAGGACGACCAGCCACACUGGGACUGAGACACGGCCCAGACUCCUACGGGAGGCAGCAG
rnacentral:rRNA from 1 species